UAACCAUGGUGUGGACAAGCGAGAAGUAAAUCUUCAAACCGCUCCCAACACUCGAAGAAAAUAUCAUCUCUUUUCUGAGAAAAGUUCAUUAUGCCUCGUCUAAGAGU